rnacentral:rRNA from 1 species
AUACGGAGGGUGCGAGCGUUAAUCGGAAUUACUGGGCGUAAAGCGCGCGUAGGCGGCUGGGUCAGUCGGAUGUGAAAGCCCCGGGCUUAACCUGGGAAUUGCAUUCGAUACUGCCCGGCUAGAGUAUGGGAGAGGGAAGUGGAAUUUCCGGUGUAGCGGUGAAAUGCGUAGAUAUCGGAAGGAACACCAGUGGCGAAGGCGGCUUCCUGGCCCAAUACUGACGCUCAGGUGCGAAAGCGUGGGGAGCAAACAGGAUUAGAAACCCCUGUAGUCC